rnacentral:rRNA from 1 species
CUCUAAUCAGGAUCCUGAGUACGGCCCAGCACGUGAAAUUGGGUCGGAAUCUGGGAGGACCAUCUCCCAAGGCUAAAUACUAACUAGUGACCGAUAGCGAACAAGUACCGUGAGGGAAAGGUGAAAAGAACCCCGGAAGGGGAGUGAAAUAGUUCUUGAAACCGUGUGCUUACAAGAAGUUCGAGGCCGUUAAUGGCUGAGAGCGUGCUUUUUGUAGAAUGAACCGGAGAGUUACGAUUGCGUGCAAGGUUAAGGUGCAAAGACUGGAGCCGUAGCGAAAGCGAGUCUUAAUAGGGCGAAUCAGUACGUAGUUGUAGACCCGAAACCGAGUGACCUAUCCAUGGUCAGGUUGAAGGUGGGGUAAUACCUACUGGAGGACCGAACAAGUGGGUGUUAAAAAACCCUUUGAUGAACUGUGGAU